rnacentral:antisense_RNA from 1 species
CGCGGGCGCCGGGGUGGAGUUCUGGCUUCAGGAUCUGCUCGCCGCCGACGACGACCUCGACCCUUCCAUUCAGACCCGCGAGGACGCGCGCCCCGCCCCGGCGCCCGCCCCGUCCACGCCCGAGCCGGGAGCGCCAGGUCCGCGGAGCUUCCCGCGCUCUUAGGGGGCUCCUGCCGCGGCGUCGGGGGCCUGGGCAGCGAGGGCCUCCAGAGGAACCAGCACUGCCGACUCCUUGAUUCUAGCCCACUGAGGCCUAUUUUGGAUUUCUGCACCCUAGAACUGUGAGAGAGUAAAUUGUGCUGUUGAAGCCACCACAUUUGUGGUGAUCUGUUUCAGCUGCAGUAGGAAGCUCGUAUGCUUGGCAGUUCUGAUUGUCAACUCACCUUUAUGUUGGAGAUUCCUUUACACGUAAGUCCCCUUAUCCACAGCGGACAAAUUCCAUGACCCCCAGUGGAUGCCUGAAAUCGCGGAGAGUACUGAAUCCUACAUAUAAUGUGUUCUUUCCUAUAUGUAUAUAUCUAUAUCUAUGAUACAGUCUAAUUUAUAAAUUAGGCAGUGAGAGAUUAACAACAAUAACUAAUAGUAAAAUAGGACAAUGAUGACAAUAUAAUGUAAUAAAAGUUUUGUGAAUAUGG